CAGAUGCAGAAUUUUACUUUGGUCUCUCAUGUGCCCAAAGAGCUGAUUGUUUACUUAUAGAUGUAAUGCUCAGCAGAUAUCCUUGGGAUGGCUCAACAUACUAGUGAAAGAUGUACAAUUACCAUGAAAGUUGGUUCAACCUCUAAAAAUCAACAACGGUCAUGAAUGUAACAAGACCAGACGGAAAUGACUGGAGACAACUCACAAGCCCAGAGGGAGGAGAGGACUGCUUUCAGGAGCAGCAUCCUGUGUGCCAGGCUGGCUUCCUAGGGAGUGGGUGAGACAGUGAGGACCCGAGCUGGAGGUCUCAGUCCUGAGAUUGAUGGCAUCAUGAUCUCCCUCUGACAGACAAGAACGGUGGGGCAAAGAUGACUGAUCUCAAGUCACCAAGCUGGCACGUGUGGAGCCUGGAUAAGUAACAGACAACGCCUGAAGAAAAUCUGAGGAAGUGUGCUGCAAAAUGAUGACAAUAAAAGGCAUCCUCGUAUACUUUUAAACAUUUUCUCUACAUAUUUGUAGAGUAGUAUGUUCGGGUUAAACACUUUAAAUCUUAAAUGAGCUUUACAGAUAUGAUUUACUAUUCUAUUCUUUCAGUUAACUUUAUAUUUGAAAAUACAUCAGACUCUUAAAAGUUAAUGUGAAUAUUUUCAUUAAUGACCUGUGACUCUUUUUAACACCUUUUAGCAGCCUUUUAACCCCAUCUGAUGUGGCUGAGUUAUGGAAAGACAUUUUGUCUGAGUUUCUACUUUUAUAAUUGCUCAAAUAUCUUUAAGAGCCCGAAAUUAACUUACCUUAUUACACAAGAAAGAGAGUGAACAUAAAGUAUACACAAGGGUACAGUGCACCCUUGACUUACGAACUAAAUUUGUUCACAAGGGCUGGUUGUAACUCAAGUUGGCUGUAAGUCAAGACUAUUUUUCCCAUAAGAAAUAAUGGAAAUACCCAUAAUGUACUGCAAACAUCCCAGAGCACCCCUUAAAUAUCCUUUUCAUAAUAAAAAGUGGCUGUAUAAUGUGUACCAUUUACCAGAAACAACAAUAAUUUUUCUAGUGUAGUCACCAAAAUGUUAUAAAAUAUGCCUAGUUUACCAGAAACAACAAUUUCAUACUGUACUCACCAU